CCUACGGGUGGCAGCAGUGAGGAAUAUUGGUCAAUGGGCGCGAGCCUGAACCAGCCAAGUCGCGUGAGGGAUGACGGUCCUACGGAUUGUAAACCUCUUUUGCCGGGGAGCAAGCGUGCGUUCGUGAACGCUCGUCGAGAGUACCCGGAGAAAACGCAUCGGCUAACUCCGUGCCACCGGCCGCGGUAAUACGGAGGAUGCGAGCGUUACCCGGUUUUAUUGGGUUUAAGGGGUGCGUAAGCGGUAGUCAAAGUCAGCGUUAAAAAUGCCGUCCUAAACGCAGUCGUGCCGUUGAAACUGGCAGUCUUGAGUGGGCGAGAGGUAUGCGGAAUGCGUGGUGUAGCGGUGAAACGCAUAGAUAUCACGAAGAACUCCGAUUGCGAAGGCAGCAUACC
rnacentral:rRNA from 1 species